UACAGAGGUGGCAAGCGUUGUUCGGAAUUACUGGGCGUAAAGGGCGCGUAGGCGGUCUUCUAAGUCUUGUGUGAAAUCCCUCGGCUCAACUGAGGAACUGCACGGGAUACUGGAUGACUUGAGUUCGGGAGAGGGAAGCGGAAUUCCGGGUGUAGCGGUGAAAUGCGUAGAUAUCUGGAGGAAUACCGGUGGCGAAGGCGGCAUCCUGGACCGGCAUUGACGCUGAGGAGCGAAAGCCAGGGGAGCAAACGGG
rnacentral:rRNA from 1 species